GAUGAAGAACGCAGCGAAAUGCGAUAAGUAAUGUGAAUUGCAGAAUUCAGUGAAUCAUCGAAUCUUUGAACGCACAUUGCGCCCGCCAGUAUUCUGGCGGGCAUGCCUGUCUGAGCGUCAUUUCAACCCUCAUGCCCCUAGGGCGUGGUGUUGGGGAUCGGCCAAAGCCCGCGAGGGACGGCCGGCCCCUAAAUCUAGUGGCGGACCCGUCGUGGCCUCCUCUGCGAAGUAGUGAUAUUCCGCAUCGGAGAGCGACGAGCCCCUGCCGUUAAACCCCCAACUUUCCAAGGUUGACCUCAGAUCAGGUAGGAAUACCCGCUGAACUUAAGCAUACCAAUAAGCGGAGGA
rnacentral:misc_RNA from 1 species